AUGUCACUGGAGUUCAUCCAGAGAGGCAAGGAACGCACCACAGACGCUAGAGGCAGUACGCAAACAGGAGGGCCAGAAGAUGAUGCUGGUGAGUUGUGUCCUGGAGUAGAUGGAUCUGCGGAGGUAGGUUGUCUUCCAGAACAAACUCACAGGUAUUCAUUGCGUCCUAACAGAGGUGUACCACCCUCGAGAUUGUCUUACCUUGCAGAGUCAAAAUUAUCCAGUGAACCGUCUACUAUAGAAGAAAUUGAGAUGCUACCUGCCACAGAAGCUGAACAGUGGAGGAAAGCAGCACAAGAGAUUGAUGCUCUACACAAGAAUGGAACUUGGACAUUAACUGAACUUCCACCUGGUAAGAAGCCAAUUGGAUGCAGAUGGGUAUUCACAUUAAAGAGAGAUGCAGAAGGAAGAAUUGAGCGCUACAAAGCGAGACUUGUUGCUCAAGGAUUUUCUCAGAAGUAUGGAGUGGAUUAUGAUGAAACUUUUGCACCUGUAGUGAAACACAGCACCAUAAGACUACUUCUAAGUAUUGCAGCUUCAAAGAAGAUGACUGUACGACAUCUAGAUGUUGAGACUGCAUUCCUGCAUGGAAAGAUUACGGAAAGUCUAUUUAUGAGACAACCACCUGGUUUUGAGGACAAGAGAAGACCUCACCUUGUUUGUAAACUUCACAAGGGUUUAUAUGGACUUCGUCAAUCAGCAAAAGCCUGGAAUGACAAAUUAGAUGAAAUGCUGAAGCAAUUGGGAUUCAAGCAAGGAGAAGCAGAUCAGUGUUUGUACACUAGAACCAAGAAUGGACAUUGUACUUUUAUUCUGACCUAUGUAGAUGAUCUUAUUGUAUCAACUGAAUCAGAUGGUGAUUACACUGAGGUUGUACAACAUUUGAGCAAACAAGUUGAAUUGAAAGAACUUGGGGAUGCUACGUACUAUCUUGGAAUACAAAUCAAGAGAGAGGAAGAUGGAUCUUUUCUCUUGAGUCAGAAGCAAAAGAUUAUAGAUUUGCUGGAAGUUACUGGACUUCAAGAUGCAAAAACAGUAGCUACACCAAUGACUACAGAUUUCUUGAGAAACAAUGAAGAAAGUGAACUUUUGCCAAACAACAACCAGUAUAGAACUGCUAUAGGAAAGCUCCUAUAUUUAGCUACCAGUACCAGACCGGAUAUAUCGUCUGCUGUUGGAAUUCUAAGUAGAAAGGUCAGUGCACCUACUCAGAGAGAUUGGAUAGCUGUCAAGAGAGUUGUAAGAUACCUGAAAGGAACAAAGGACUUACAACUGAAGUUACCAGCAAGUGACAAACCAAGAUUGAUUUGUUACUCAGAUGCUGACUGGGCUAGUGAUUCUUCAGAUUGUCAAUCAACUAGCGGAUAUCUCUUUAUGUACGGAAAUGGUCCUAUUGCUUGGGCCAGCCGGAAGCAAGAAUUAGUGGCUAAAUCCACUACUGAAGCAGAAUACAUAGCCAUUUCCCUAGCAUCAGAUGAACUUUUGUGGCUUCAUCAACUUCUGACUGAUUUUGGAAUUGAUGAGCAGAAGCCUAUUCAAGUGUUUGAGGACAACCAAAGUUGUAUCAAGUUUGCCAAGUCUGAGAAGAUGAUGAUGCGUACAAAGCAUAUUGGGAUAAGGUACCAUACUGUACGCAAACUUUCUCAAGAUGGAAUGGUUGAACUGACAUACUGUCCAACAAAGGAGAUGGUGGCGGACAUUUUGACUAAACCGUUACCUAGAGAUGGCUUCCAAGACCUCCGUGUCAAGAUGGGACUAAUUGUUUAA
ensembl:lncRNA